rnacentral:rRNA from 1 species
UACGAAGGGGGCUAGCGUUGCUCGGAAUCACUGGGCGUAAAGGGCGCGUAGGCGGCCUGCUAAGUCGAACGUGAAAUCCCCGGGCUCAACCCGGGAACUGCGUCCGAUACUGGCAGGCUUGAAUCCGGGAGAGGGAUGUGGAAUUCCAGGUGUAGCGGUGAAAUGCGUAGAUAUCUGGAGGAACACCGGUGGCGAAGGCGGCAUCCUGGACCGGCAUUGACGCUGAGGCGCGAAAGCCAGGGGAGCAAACGGG